rnacentral:lncRNA from 1 species
UGAACACAUCAGCUGCUGUUUCAGCGGCUAACCUUCUCGUCAAGAGCGUGGAAUCAGCAUUCCCUAAACAGAAGAAGAACUUAGCCAUUGUAGAGUUUAAGCAGGCAAAAGUAGCACUUAAGAGACGCACUAAGGGCCAUGACGAACAUAUAGGUAUGUUUUUCUACUUAUCUUUCUGUAAAUCUCCUCUUUAAUUACCCUGAGAUUAUCCCUCUUUUUCCCCCAGAUUUGCCUUCACUUCCGCAAGAUAUCCUUGUUCAUAUCUUCAGUUUCCUUGAUGUAUAUUCCUUACUCUCCUCAUCCCAAGUCUCUCGGUACUACUUUCUCCUGUAUUUUGCACAUUCUUUUUUCUUGCUUUUUUACUUAUAUGUUAUUCUUGUAGCUCAUGGAACCAAGCAACGUCUGAAGGCUCUCUGUGGCGUUCACUAUUUGAUCUUCACUUCAGUCACAAAGUCUCGAUUCAUAUUCAUCCCGGUUUUGACUGGAGAGAAGCCUUUAAGAACGAAUAUAUCUGUAAGGGUUUUAUCUUCUCUCUUUCUUUUUUUUUUUUUUAAAACGCUUUCUCUAUGUACAAUUCGUAAAGUAUGCAUUUUCUUUGCGUAACCGUGCAGUGUAUAAAUCAUCAAAGAUGUUAAGAUCUGGUCGGGGAUACUGCAGUUACUGCGACUCCGUUGUUUGGCACGACAACUUGAGAUGUCCGAAGAAACAAUGUCGGUUGAAAUCAGGCAAGAAGCCACUCGACCUCAUGUUAACUCACCAGGUAUAAGCUUCUUCCUCCUUCAAGAAAUGUUUCUCGUGGCUCUUGUAGGGCAAGCUAUCUAUAUAUGCCUUUGGUGGUUUUGAUUCUUCACAGGUUGUUAACUAUUUACUGGGGACAACGAGUUCGUCCGAUGAAAGUGAUUCGGAGGAUGAGGCUGUCCGUGGACUAUGGGCUUAUCCAACGCUACAGUAGCUUCGUAGCUUUACCAAAUUAUCAUAUCUGUGUGUAAAUUCUUUUACUCAUAUGCACAUUCGUAUUCUGAGACAAAAACAAACAUCUCUUUCUCGCUUGGGCUUGUAGGCUCACGAGGGUCUUGGGCCCAUCUGUUAAUAUGAAUUUUUUUUUGGUAAACUACAGUAUAACUUCUUUCAAGUAAAACUCCAUGAAUUAAUCAUUUUUUUCUGAAAGAAAUCAAUUAAUCAUAACAAAUAACAUGAAUUAGACUUUCAAAGACGCGCCACAUUACAAAAAGUAGAUCAAUUACCAAAAACCGAGAUGACUAACCAUCCAAAAAACGAUAGAAACGAACGAAACAGAAAAAAGUACCAAAAAAGUAAUUUAAGAAUUUGAGAUGGGUAUAGAAACGCAGAUACAAAGGAAAAAAAAUAAAAAAGAAUUCAUUCAUCCCCUUGGAUUAUUCCAAUCAAAUGGAUAUGUUUUAAACUUAAAACUAGAUGUGAUCCACGCUUUCGAAGCGUAGAAUCAGCCAAGCAUGAAGCAGAGGAAUAAGCCUUAGUUUGGGUUUUUAGGGAGUUGUUCUUCGAAUGGUUUUAUUUCAAUACCAGUAAUAGAUUACAGGCGUCACUGAUUCUUUGCAUAUGCGUUGUCAUUUAGCAUUUGCUUUGUCAAUUUGCUUGUUAAUAAAGCUAGAAUGUUCUGUUUCUUUGAAUCUGACAAUGAGACAGACUACUCAUCAAGUGCACUUUAUUCUUAUAAUUUAUCUCUCGGUUUCAUGAAAUCUAUGUUUCAUCUCCUCUAUCUAACAGUUUCAGCUUAUAUAUUUAUAUUUAUUUUUCUCAUUUAGCAUGAACACAUCAGCUGCUGUUUCAGCGGCUAACCUUCUCGUCAAGAGCGUGGAAUCAGCAUUCCCUAAACAGAAGAAGAACUUAGCCAUUGUAGAGUUUAAGCAGGCAAAAGUAGCACUUAAGAGACGCACUAAGGGCCAUGACGAACAUAUAGGUAUGUUUUUCUACUUAUCUUUCUGUAAAUCUCCUCUUUAAUUACCCUGAGAUUAUCCCUCUUUUUCCCCCA